rnacentral:tRNA from 1 species
GCCAGCGUAGCUUCAAUUGGCAGAGCGUCGCACUCGUAAUGCGGAUGUUGUGGGUUCGAUUCCCACCGCUGGCU